rnacentral:rRNA from 1 species
AUUGAACGCUGGCGGCAUGCUUUACACAUGCAAGUCGAACGGUAACAGGCCUUCGGGUGCUGACGAGUGGCGAACGGGUGAGUAAUGCAUCGGAACGUGCCCAGAGGUGGGGGAUAACGCAGCGAAAGCUGUGCUAAUACCGCAUGUGAUCUGAGGAUGAAAGCGGGGGACCAAGCAGCAAUGUUUGGCCUCGCGCCUCUGGAGCCGCCGAUGUCAGAUUAGGUAGUUGGUGGGGUAAAGGCCUACCAAGCCGACGAUCUGUAGCUGGUCUGAGAGGACGACCAGCCACACUGGGACUGAGACACGGCCCAGACUCCUACGGGAGGCAGCAGUGGGGAAUUUUGGACAAUGGGCGCAAGCCUGAUCCAGCAAUGCCGCGUGCGGGAAGAAGGCCUUCGGGUUGUAAACCGCUUUUGUACGGAACGAAAAGGCUCUGGCUAAUACCUGGGGCUGAUGACGGUACCGUAAGAAUAAGCACCGGCUAACUACGUG